ensembl:lncRNA
UUUGUUUCCACAAUCAAACUCUAUUUUACUACAGGAAUAAGAGAAUUUAUCAUUACUGUUUCAGCAUACCCUACUGCAUUCAACUGAUUUUAGCCUGAAAUUUAAGAAUAUCAGCAUGCAAAGAAUUCUUAUUAUAUAGAGAAAGGUAAGAAUGAUAUAUACUAUUGGGAUUCUCAUAGCCGCUGUAAGAGAGAAUUCAAAAGAUGAGAAUCAAAAUAGAGUAAAAAUAACAUUAUAACUGAAUACAAUUACUAUGACAAACAUUAUUUCUGAAACAACUUUUAUUCUUAUGUCAGAAAUUUUGAUUUCAACAAUAUGUUUGUAGAAUUUUAAAACUGGUUUUCAUAUGGACGCCUAUGUGCAAGUGUAACAUUCAUUUUUAUUAUUUAUUAUAUCAUACAAUAUACCCUUCUUAUUUACAUACAGUAACAGUUACCUAGCAUUAAAGAAAAUAUCUUUAAUGUCUUGGCACAGUGUUCCAGGUAGUCAAUAUUUUGUGCUGCUUUGUAGAACCCUAAAAUAUUUUUCAAGUGCAAAAAUUAAUCCUCAACUCCAAUUCUGCAUGGUUUCAAAAGAACAUUUAAAUCCAUUAAUGUAAAUCUGGAUAACUGUAAAUGACUGAGAAAAAUGCAGAAAGUAUGCAAAGGUGAUGUACAGAAGCUGGGUAACAAAUCAUACACUGAGAGAGCGCAGAGGGAUGAACAUUUCUGGUCUCAUAGCUCUAGAUGUACCAUUAAUUGCUACAGUAAAAGUAAUUUUUCAGCCAGACAGUGAGUGAAAUACUGCCAACAUUCAUUCCUUUUUAAUGCCAAUUUAUGGCCAAAUUGCAAUGGAAAAUCAUUAGAGUUAGAAAGUAAAAGACUUGAGCUCAGCAAACUAUUGACAACAGGAUCGCUUGCCCAUACAGAAGUUUUAAAACAGCGUCAUACUAGGUUAGUACAAUCCACGUGAGGAAACACAGUGUGGAUGGAACAAGACAGAUAGGUUUGCUACUCUUAAACUGUUGUUAUCCCAUAGCCAAACAAAUAAGGAGUGAAGUGCUUUUCACUGCAAAAAUACUACAUUAAUUUUUGUGUCUCUAGAGUAAUGAAGAAUGUAGAGCAGCAUGGGCACCUAUUUUUCCACAGGGCAGAGGUAGUCAUGCCCGCAUUCUCAGGGCAGGAUAAUUUCUAACACCUCCUGUAGCUGACGAGUCAGCCUAUUUCUAAUACUGUCCAACAUGCCCUCAAGAGCAGGUCUUUCCAUUGCUCAUUUGACAGUGCACAUGGACACGUGGCCCAAGGACAUAAAAAUAAUUCAGCUUUGACUGUACUCAUGCAGUCACAGUGUUUACACUAAUCUGUUUCCAUUAGGGAAAAGGAAAGCCUACAGUAGGUAUAAUCAUCUUCAAAUAAUCAUCAAUCUUUGCAACAGGAGUCUUUCUACCAAUAUAAUUAGCUAAAGAAGGCAAAAGUGUAUCCUUAAGUGAUCUAGUUAUUAUGCAGGUAACAUGUUUCUGCAUAUUCUAAGGCCAGGUACCUGUGCUAAGAUAUCUAUAACUAUGCUCUAUGUCUUCUUUGAAAAGGGAAGCACAGUUAGGCUUUAAGUCAGGCAUUUCUCCAACAAUGUAAAUAUUAACUGAGGGGCCUUAGGCGAAUGAAUAGCAAUCUUCAUCAACCGCUCCCAAUGAACCGUGGCAUUAUAAUUUGAUCUUAUUCAUUAUGUAUUACUCAGCAUUAGAUAAAUGGAGAAUACUUUUUGAAUUUGUCAAGCGCAGCUGAGUUUUCUCCUCCAUAACUCCUUCAAUUAAUCACAUAUAGAUGUUGACUUUAUAUUGCAUUUUGGGUUAUUUAUCUUACAGCAUAACAUAGCUCAUAAUAAAUGAACUCAUUGUUUAAAUUCACAUACAAAGGAAAGUUUCAAAUAUGCUAACAACUUUCAUAUUCAGUGCAUUCGACAAAGCAUCUGGAGGAACUAGACAAAAAAAAAUCCUAAUAAAUAUAGACUUUUAAAAUUUAGUCUUGCAUAAGUCCUCAGGUGAUGCUGUGAUUGUGCAGUCCAAAGGAAAAUAGAGAAGUGAUGCACUUAAACUGACAUUGGCAUCUAAUAGAAAAUAAGAUAUUCCAGACUUUCAGAUUACUCUGUGACCAGCACAGUCUAUUUCAAGUUUUAUGAGAUAAACAGAUAUAUGGUACUGUUCCUGCAAGUAACAACUAGCACUAAAGCAUGCUCAUUGAGAACAAGUCCUGGAGGAAAAGAACAUUUAUUUUUCAUUAAAUGGGCACUUCAGGGAAUGCCUGGCUUUAUGAUUUGUACAGUUCCAAGUUUCUCUGGAGGCAGUUUGGAGAGCAUGCUAGGAGCUGCCUGUUCCUCAGGUCCUGCUGCCAGGAAUAGAGACAUCAGUCCAGCUUCUCUGUUGCCAAGUCAAUGCUCAUCAGACUUUGUUAAACUUGUGCCUAAGGCAGGCUCUGCUCCUGAUGUUGCCCAGGACAUUCAUUUCUAUUCUACACCGGAAAUACAUGCAGCUAACGCAGAGAUUUUGCUGAGAGCAUUGGACUGCUUUGUUUUUGGGUCCUACUGUAUCACAUAUCGUACCACUGUCAGCAGAUGGCUUCCCUAUCCUACUUUAAUGUACUCUAAACAGCAUUUUAAAGAUUCAGACAGGUAAUAGAAUAAUAAGCAAACUUUUCUUCCCCAGGUUUGGUUACUACUAUCUGAGCUGGUGUCAGGUAUACUCUACUCUUCACCUGCCUUUAUGCUCACACUGGGGUUUGACAACCAGUCAGAGAGACACAUUGUCAAGGUAUGUCAGCAGGUUGACAGGAAACACCAAUAUCAGCUAGCACAGUUACAUUCUCUUGAGUGACAAUCAUCCUUUAUAUGUGGAAAAUAUCAGAGAAAAUUCACAGUAAGAGCAUCAGGUCAGCUAAGUUUAGGGGAGGUAUGAUCAAAGUUGCAUUCUAACUCAAUUAUAUCCAUAUUUUUGCUUUCUUUAAAAAACUUUCUAUAGCCUAUUUUUGGAUUUUCCUAAUAUUUUAAUAGGAAAAAAGAAAACAAGAAAUAUUACACCAAAUAGUUACAGUAAGAAAUAUUACACGGUAUGAUGUAGAGCCAGGUACUCUCUGCCAUACAGUCUCACUGCAAAUCCCUCUUACUGAAAAAGAAAGGUUUAACCCCUGCUCUUCAGUUUAACACAAAGCAGAGACCUCUUAUUAUUACAUACUAAGCAUUGUCCUACCAAUGUUCCUUGAGUGAUGGUAAUUAAGGAGAUGAUGGUUCUAAUUCUGAGCACUAAUUUGCUAUUCCUUAACAGAAGAACAAGAAGCCUACUUCUAUCAUUAGCUUCACUUUUGCUAGACCUCCUAUUAAGCUGCCUGUCUCAGCUAUUUUUAAUUUGCAAAAAUGGAGACAUCUUCACUAGAAGAUUCUAAAUUAGAAGAUGAUAUCCAUUAGAUAACCUCAUAGGGAAAGAAUUUCUAUUGUGUAUGUUUCAUUAUGUAUAGUUGUUUGAAACCUAAAAGUGACAGGUCCAGAACAAGUCAGAACUCUCUCUUUUUCACUUUCCCUAUCACAGAGUGGUUGUGCUUGGCUGGGACCUCUGGGUCCAUCUGGUCCAACUCCUCUGGCUCAGACAGUGAUACCCAGAGCUGCUUGCCCAAGCCUCCGCUUAGGAAGGUUUUGAGAUUCACUCUGAGUCUUCUCUAGUCUGAAUGGACACAGCUCUCAGUCUCCCCACACAGAGAGCUGCCCAGAGAGGUGGUGGAGUCACCGACCCUGGAGGUGUUCAAGGAGCGUUUGCAUGCUGUGUUGAGGGACGUAGUAUAAUGAGAACCAUUGGUGAUAGGCGAAUGGUUGGACUGGAUGAUUCUGUGGGUCUUUUCCAACCUUAGCGAUUCUAUGACACUAUGAUUCUAGGUGCUCCAGUAAUCUAAUCAUUUCUGUGGCCAGUCAAUGAGACAGUCUCUAGUGUGUCUAUGUCUUUCUUGUACUCCAGAGCAUAAAAAUGGACCCAGCAUGGCAUCAUCAGGCAACACUGCCUAAUGCAGCCAAGAAUGCUGUUAUCCUCCUUUGCAGCAAGCACACGUGGCUGGCCCACAUUCAACUUGGUGUCCAAGAGGACAUUCAGUGCCUUUUCUGCAGAGUUGCUUUCCAGCUGGAUUGCUCCCAGUGCAUAUUGGUACCUGGAGCUAUUCCUCUCUAGGAGCAGGUCUUUGAAUUUCUCCUUGUUGGACUUCAUGAGGUUCCUGUCAACCCAUCCUGUUUAGGUUCCUCUGGAAGGCAGCUGACCAUCUGAUAUAUUAACCAGUACACUCAGCUUUGUUAAUGUGUUAACAGUUUCGGGAUCAGAGGGGCUACAGCAGUCUUCCCAUAAUGUUAUGUGAUAUAAGUUCAUGUGCACCUGUACGGGGGCUCACAGACUACAGUAGGAGGAAACCCAAAGUACUUCCCUGCCAGGCUACUCACUGGCUCUUCAGAGGAGCACCAGGAGCACAGUGGCAGGCAGGAACUCAAAUUAAGGACUCAUAAUGAACAAAGACCUUUCCAGGGCUGUCCCAGUAAAGAUCAGCCCCACUGCCUAGGCUUGAAGCCCAUCAGGGUUGGGGAGUAGCUCUCAGGAUCACCUUUCACACAAAUGAGGGUUGCUGUCUGGUGGUGGAACACAAUACAGGCUGGAUGAGAAGAGCAUUUGGGGAUUGCACUGGACUUGUUACAGGAUGCAUCAAAGGCAGAACAAGGGAGUCAUAGAGAAUCUGGGAGGAACAAGAGUGAGAAAAGAGCAGUAACGGGAUUAAAGGUUUGAUUGGACAAAGUGACAGCUGCUCCAACCACUGCUGGGAAAGUGCCCUCUGGCAUAUAAGAAUGGUUUUGCUCUGAACUGAGAUGAGCUCCUCUUUUUUUUUUUUUUUUUUAAUGUAUUGCUGCAUCUGUUGUCUGCCUAUGAACUGUGCUCCAGGCCUGGGUCCUAUUACAUGCCUCUGUCUAGCACUGGCCAAAAAAGGGUGCUCAAUUCUCCCUAACUUAGUAAGCUAUACUUAACACUUACCUAGCAGCAGCUGCCACCUUCCUGAUCCUUGGAGGAUUCCCAGGAAGUCGCAGACCCCAAAACCUCAAGAAAAAUCAAAGAUGUCAAAAGCAAGCAAGCAAACAAACAAGCAAACAACAACAACAACAACAAAAAACAGAGCCUGGAAACCGCUGCCUCUGUUGACAAUCGCUAUUAGUUGAGCUCUGCAGUUUUUCAUUUCUCCCAGGUAGUCGUCCAGCAUCUCAGACAUGUGGUUAACAUUUUAUUUCUGUUCCAUAUGUUGGUGAGCCCCAACUUUCUUGGGCUAAAUAAGUAAUUUAAAAGCAAUUAGAACUCAUCACCACUACUUUAGAAGAACUGAAUUGUGUUUUUGGAGACAUUCAAAAAAACCUCUAGGAUACACAUAUCACUACAAAAAACAAAAGAUGAAGCAAUUUAGGAUUUUCACUUAACAUUUCACUAUAACUAUGCCAAUUUUGCAGAAAUGUUAUUUUUUUUUCUUUAAAACUUUUAUGCAGUUGUUUACACAUUUCUGUUUCCUGAUUUCUCACAACCAUGUAGGACUUGAUCCUUUCUUUAAACUAGACCAAGGCUGGAUUUAUUUGUGAAAGUCAAGUUUCCAGCUAAUUCAAGCUAAACCCUUAAUUCUCUUUCCUCUUUUUCUUUUUAUAGAAUAGGCACAAAUAAAAUCUUUUUUUGAAGAUUUUGAUGGAAGAAAGAAAAUCUAAGAUUUAACUUGUCUUAAUAAUUAUAUUUUCUGAAGUCUUUCUGAACAUCUGCUCACAAGUUAAAUUGUACAGAAAAACUUUAAGAUCAUGUCUCUAUUUCACUAGUUAUAGAACAGGAAUAUGCAAAAGACAGAGCAGAAUUCAUCUUUUCCACACUGAAACAUUUACUACAUCUCUAGUUUUGUCUUCCUUAAAAACCUGAAUAGAAAAGGACACCAAUUUAGAGUGUCUUUCUAAAUAUAUACUUCACGUUAAUUAGAGGUUGUAAGAUUAAGUAAAAAACAACAACAACAACAACAAAAAACCCAACCGAAAAGGUCACAAAUGCAUUAACAUUAGAAGCACUUAACAAGGAAAAUUUGUGACCACUGCUGAAUGGGGUAGAAAAUUUAAUAACUAGAGACACAGAUAAGUCUGAGAUACUUAAUGAUUUCUGAUCCUGUCUUCAUCAGAAACAUCUCUGAAGCUUCUGUGCUUAGAAAAAGAGUCUAAACAGAAAACAAAUCAGCAACAGUGGGUAAAGACUGAGUCAGGAAUUGCUUGAAGGAAUGAGACACUUAGAGAGACUAUGGAACCCAAAACGCUGUGCCCUAGGAUGCCAAGAAAUGAUUGCAAGGCCCUUGUAAGGCUGCCUAACAUUUUUUGAGUUUAUAGAGACUGGCAGAGAUCCUCAAUGACUGGAGAGAAAAAAAAAAAAAAAAAGGCAAAAAUUGAACACAUUUUAAAAAGGUGUCAAAAAUAUGGUUAGUCUCACUUCAGACUCCAGGGAAGUCAUGGAGCAAAGGUUCCUGGAACACAUUUCUGAGUGCACAGAGAAGGUGCUGAAUGGAGGCAAUCACUAUGAACUGAAGAAAGGCAAGCCAUGCCUGACCAAACAGUUUGUCUUCCAUGAGUAAAUGCAUGGAUUUGUAUAGGAAGGAAGAGCAAAAGAUCUCAUUUACCUUGACUUCAGCAAGCAUAUUGACAUUCUCUCCUGACAUCUUUCUGUAUCCACAUUAGUACAUUACCUUCCGGAUGGAUGAAUAAUCAAAUAAGUAAUAACCUCGUGGGAAGGUCAGAUUUGGAGGGUUGUGGUUAAUAGGGCGUAUUCUGACAGCAGGCCAAUAACAACUGAAGUGCCAAAGGGUUCUACUUGCGGGUAUGUCCUGCUUAACAUCUUUAUCAGUUUCCUGAAGGAGGCAAUGUAGUACUUAUUCACAAAGGUCAGAGAUGACAUCAAACUGGAGGAGAAAUAAAUUGGUAUGCUUAAUGGCAGGGUUACCAUUCUGAUGGAUCUAGACAGGCUAGAGGAAUGUGCUGACAGGAAUCUCAUGAAGUUCAACAAGGACAAAUGUGAAGUCCAGCACUUUAGAAGGGAAAAAACCCUUGCAGUGAUACAGCUUCAGAGGGACCAAGCAGCAGCCUCCCCACACCCACAAGAGGACAGAAACAUUGGAGCAGGUUGCACAGACUAUGCUUCUGCAUCCCUGGGUGUUUUCAAGACCUGACUGAUUAAAGCCCUAAGCAAUCUCAUUUGAUCUCACAGCUGACCUUGUUUUGAGUAGGAAGUCAACCUAGAGAUACACUUCCUGAGGUCCCUUCCAACCUGAACCGUUCUGUAAUAUUAUACAAUGGUAUUUCUUUUCCUGGAACUGUAGGAAAGGCAUAUGAAACUACCAGGUUUAAUGAAUUCAUCAACUCAAUGAAGGCAUUUACAGGUGAAAUCACUGCCCACAAUACAAGCGUGAAGGACCACAAGCCAUCAAAUCCCCCUGCAAUAACAGGUUAUUGAAAAGGAUUUGCAGAAUAUCAUUCUUCCAUGCCCUCGUUCAACACAGCUUAAAAAUUGCCUACAAAUACCUCAGGGUCAGAUGAAACCUGUUUAUACUGAAGGUCAAUGGUGACACAAGAAUAAGUGUGUAUAAUGAAAUACGUUUAGGCUGUAAUUAGAAGAUUUGUAGCCUUCCAAGGAAUUAAGUUCUGGAGCAAGUUGGUAAUAGGAGUAAUUGGGAAUAACCGAGCUAAGUGGUUUCAAGAGCUAAGGAACUUUUCAAAGAGAUAAGUUAAUCAAAGUCUAAAAAUAAUUAACAAAAUUCUCUAAUGUGACAACUCAGGGGACUCUCAUUCACAAUGUUGAAGAAAUUCAGGAUACAAGUCUACAGCCCAUAUGAUAAAAGUCAGAACUGCCUUAACC